rnacentral:rRNA from 1 species
CGCCUGGGGAGUACGAUCGCAAGAUUAAAACUCAAGGAAUGGACGGGGCCCCGCACAAGCAACGGAGCAUGCGGCUUAAUUCGACGCAACGCGAAGAACCUUACCAAGGCUUGACAUAUACAGGAAUAUGGCAGAAAUGUCAUAGCCGCAAGGUCUGUAUACAGGUGGUGCAUGGUUGUCGUCAGCUCGUGUCGUGAGAUGUUGGGUUAAGUCCCGCAACGAGCGCAACCCUCGUUCUGUGUUGCCAGCAUUUAGUUGGGGACUCACAGGAGACUGCCGGAGUUAACUCGGAGGAAGGUGGGGAUGACGUCAAAUCAUCAUGCCCCUUAUGUCUUGGGCUGCACGCAUGCUACAAUGGCUGGUACAAACGGCUGCGAUACCGCAAGGUGGAGCGAAUCCGAUAAAGCCAGUCUCAGUUCGGAUUGGGGUCUGCAACUCGACCCCAUGAAGUCGGAGUUGCUAGUAAUCGUAGAUCAGCAACGCUACGGUGAAUACGUUCCCGGGGCUUGUACACACCGCCCGUCACGUCACGAAAGUCGGUAACACCCGAAGUCAGU